GACAUAGGGUGCAAACGUUGUUCGGAUUUACUGGGCGUAAAGCGCGUGUAGGCGGCUUGGCAAGUCGGGUGUGAAAGCCCACGGCUCAACCGUGGAAGCGCAUCCGAAACUGCUUCGCUCGAGUCUCGGAGAGGAAGGUGGAAUGCUUGGUGUAGAGGUGAAAUUCGUAGAUAUCAAGCAGAACACCUGCGGCGAAGGCGGCCUUCUGGACGAUGACUGACGCUGAGACGCGAAAGCGUGGGGAGCAAACAGG
rnacentral:rRNA from 1 species